rnacentral:lncRNA from 1 species
CAUGUAUCUUUUUGAAUUGUAGUUUUCUCUGGAUAUAUGCACAGGAGUGGAAUUGCUAGGUCAUAUAGUAGUUCGAUAUUUAAUUUUCUGAGGAAUCUUCAUACUGUUUUCCAUAGUGGUUGUACCAAUUUACAUUCCCACCAACAGUGCAGGAGGGUUCCCGUUUCUCCACACCCUUUCCAGCAUUGGUUAUUUGUAUACUUAUUAAUGAUGGCCAUUCUGACUGGCAUGAGGUGGGCAGGUGAGUGUGCUGGCAUGACCUCCUGAGCCCAGGUGUAUUCAGACAAAUUUAGGAAUCUUUGGGAAAUGGUGAUUUCAAAGUUAAUUGCCUUAAACCUAUGUGUUCAUGUACUUCUUGGAGGGAUUUUUUGUGACACUUCAGUUAUAUACAUUUCCUAGUUGGAAGAGCACUGUAAUAGAGAAAGAAAGAAUCUUAAAAAGACCAAGGACUCUAAUUCAAAGAAGGCUAGAAUUUGGGAGGAAAGGAACAGGCCAGUGUAAUCUCAUGGGUUUAAUAUAUUGGGUUUAAUACAUUCUUCAGGGUUAGAGUUAGGGUUAGGGACAAUGAUUUUUGAGUCAGUGGUCUUCCCUAAGACAGUGAGAACUGUGUGGUAGGCAUAGGUUGGAGAAUGCCACUUCUGGGAUUGGUGUGUUCCAGAAGACUGGGCAGAGGAAGGGGAGACAGCAUUUAUUGAGCAGGUAUUAUAUGUGGGAGGGCCUUAGCAUGUUUCUCACUUUUCAUGAGAGGCCUUAGUGACCUUUCCCAGGGCACAUGGUCAGUAAGUGGCUGCCUGGCUCAAGAGUCCAGCUGGGAAAGAGUCUGUCAGUUACCACCUGCCUCUUCUGAAAUUCUCCUGAAUCCCAAGGAGUCAGAUAGAGUCAGAAUAGUAUCUUUAAAGAAGAGCUGGUUUUAUUUUUUCCUUAGUUGCAAAAGAAGUACAUUCUCAUAAUAGAAACCCUGAAAAACCACAGAAAAGCACAAAACAGGAACCAGAAAUCAUCUGGAAGCCUACCCCUCAGAGAUGACUGUGAACAUUUUAGAGGGUAUGUGCUCCUGAGGAAGAAAACGUGGACCUGAACUUAGAUGUGCUCGUGGUCCCAACAGAGAGGAGGUUCAUGUGGUUGAGACCAGUUCCCACCUGAGUUUAAAUUUCCACUCCCUGUUUACCAGUUCCUUUAUCUGUGAAAAGGAGGUAAGAGUAUACCCUUCAUGGCUUUGUUGUGUUACAGGAGAUAAUGCAAGCAUGCCUUGCUAGAUGCUUAACACAUAGUAAGCAUGAUAGAUGGCUGGCUGGGUGGAUGGUACAUAGGUACGUAGGUAUCUUUUAGUCAUUUUCCCCUUUUUGGUUAGCAACAUUUCUUGAACAUUUCCCCCCCAUUUCAUUCAUUCAGUAUGACACUUUUUUUUUUUUCCUUUUUUAUGGCUGCAACUGCAGCAUAUGGAAGUUCCCAGCCUAGGGGUUGAAUCAGAGCUGCAGCUGCUGGCCUACACCACACCCACAGCAACUCGGGAUCCGAAGUGCAUCUGCAACCUAUGCUGCAGCUCUCACCAACGUUGGAUUCUUUAAUCCACUGAGUGAACCCAUAUCCUCAUGAUUCUUAAUCUGCUGAGCCACAGCAGGAACUCAUAAGUAUGAUUUUUUUUUUUUUUUUUGUCUUUUUAGGGCUGCACCAGCAACAUAUAGAGGUUCCCAGGUUAGGGGUUGAAUCCAGCCUACACCACAGCCACAGCAAAGCAAGAGCUGAGCUACAUCUCCAACCUAUACCACAGCUCACAGCAACACUGGAUCCUUAAUCCCCUGAGUGAGGCCAGGUUUCAAACCUGCAUGCUCAUGGAUACUAGUCAGAUUUCUUUGCGCUGAGCCACAAUGGGAACUUCUCAUAAGUUUGAUUCUUAAUCACAUCCAUUGUGUGAAUAUAACACAAUUGCCUUAACCAGUUGUCUCACUGUUGAUCUCUCAGAUUAUUUGCAACCAUUUCCUAUUCUAAACAAUGCUGGGAUGAACAUCCUACUGACUGUGACUGAUGCAGUUAACUGCGAAAAGUGUGAUUGCUGCACUGGACACAGUUAAGGCAUUUCUAACAUGGUGCCUCAUUUAACUUCAGAAAAUGCUUCCAAUUUAUAUUCCAAUUCUAAAUAGACAUGAGAGUGUCUGUUUGCAUAAACCCUCACCACGACUGGUAUUAUCUUUCUUUUUCAUCUUUGCUAAUUGGAUAAGCUUUAAAAAGUGUAACACAUUUGAGUUUGCCUGUCCUUGAUUAUAAGUGAGGUUUGACAUUCUUUUCUAUUUCUUUGGACUUAAAAAACAACCGAACAACGGGAAUGUGUGCAGGUGUUUGUUCUUCUUAGAAUGCUUACUGUUAUUUACUCCCAAGUCUGUAUCAUCUCUUUUCUGCAGGAGGCAGAAAAUGAAAUUUCAGCUUUCCUGGAGCGGGUGUGUAUGCAUAAGAGGUUUAAUCGAUAACUGACAGAGGAAGUGGGGUUCAGAGUUGCCCCCUCCUGGGUCUCUGGGGAUUCUUUCUCUUAAAUCGGGCUGCUGCUUCUCUGACAGGUGUACUUCUUAGCUCUGGGGACGUGGUCCAGACAGUCCUCAGCUCUCACUCUGCCCGGUGUGCCUUGGGACCCUGGAUGUUGCAGAAAUACAUAUGGUCUGGAGAAUGCAAAAGGUCACAGGCUUAUUUUUAGGUAGGAAAAAUCAGGCUCCAUUUUAAGCAUAAAGAGUCCUUUCAUAGGAUGCGCCCGCUUUGCUGUGUUAUUUGGAUUUUGGUAUUAGCCUGUCUCUGUCUCUCUCUCUCCAUCCCCUACCUUUCUCUUUCUUCCCCCUCCCCUCCUUCUUUCUGGCAAAUUAUACUUUCCCAGGACAAGAAAUGCUGUCAAUAAAGAAAGCAAAUAUAUAACGAGGAAUUUAAAUAAUAGCAGAAAAUGUCCUAAACCUGGGAGGGAAAAAUCUUGUUUGCAAAUUGACCAGGUGAGAAGGAUUUUGUCUCACUGUGCAGGGUUGAAAACUCAUCUUAUCUGAGUUCACUGCAUUCUGAGCUCUGAAACCUAGAAGUCCCUAUUGCUUCAGACCCUCCAUGUUGGGAUUUUGUCUUUUUUC